rnacentral:rRNA from 1 species
AGAGUUUGAUCCUGGCUCAGGACGAACGCUGGCGGCGUGCUUAACACAUGCAAGUCGAGCGAAGUGCUUUCAACAGAUUCCUUCGGGAUGAAGAUGAAAGUAUCUUAGCGGCGAACGGGUGAGUAACGCGUGAGAAACCUGCCUUUCACAAAGGAAUAGCCUCGGGAAACUGGGAUUAAUACCUUAUGAUACUUAAACUUCACAUGAAGAUUAAGUUAAAGCGUAAAGCGGUGAAAGAUGGUCUCGCGUCCCAUUAGUUAGUUGGUGAGGUAACUGCUCACCAAGACGUCGAUGGGUAGCCGGCCUGAGAGGGUGAACGGCCACACUGGAACUGAGACACGGUCCAGACUCCUACGGGAGGCAGCAGUGGGGAAUAUUGCACAAUGGAGGAAACUCUGAUGCAGCGACGCCGCGUGAACGACGAAGGCCUUCGGGUCGUAAAGUUCUGUCCUUGGGGACGAUAAUGACGGUACCCAUGGAGGAAGCCCCGGCUAACUACGUGCCAGCCACCGCGGUAAUUC